rnacentral:rRNA from 1 species
GAUGAACGCUGGCGGCGUGCCUAAUACAUGCAAGUCGAGCGAACAGAUAAGGAGCUUGCGCCUUUGACGGUAGCGGCGGACGGGUGAGUAAGACGUGGAUAACCUACCUAUAAGACGGGGAUAACUUCGGGAAACAGGAGCUAAUACCAGAGAACAUAUUGAACCGCAUGGUUCAAUAGUGAAAGGCGGCUUGGCUGUCACUAAUAGAUGGAUCCGCGUCGGAUUGGCUAGUUGGUAAGGUAACGGCUUACCAAGGCAACGAUACGUAGCCGAGCUGAGAGGGUGAUCGGCCACACUGGAACUGAGACACGGUCCAGACUCCUACGGGAGGCAGCAGUAGGGAAUCUUCCGCAAUGGGCGAAAGCCUGACGGAGCAACGCCGCGUGAGUGAUGAAGGUCUUCGGAUCGUAAAACUCUGUUAUCAGGGAAGAACAACUGUGUAAGUAACUGUGCACAUCUUGACGGUACCUGAUCAGAAAGCCCCGGCUAACUACGUG